GUGCUAUCGCAUUAGCAGCACAUAUACUGAAGUUGGAACGAUGCAGUGGAGAUUAGCUCAGGCCUUGCAUUAGGAUGACAUAGAUUUAUAAAGUGGUUCAUAUUUUU
ensembl:snRNA U6 U6 spliceosomal RNA